CCCACCCAGCUCAGGACCUGGACGAGGCAGUGGGAGGUCAGCCAGGCUCUCGGCCAGACACAAUAGAGUUCCCAGGAGAAGGCUACUCAAUCUUGGACUCUUCUAAUAAAACUCGGGGAAGAGCCCCACAAAGAAACUGUGUGUCCCAGGACUACAAUUUUCUGGACUUGAACAGCACUUUCCGUGACCUGGCCUUGAGUUUCUCUCUAAACUCUACCUACGUGCGUGUAACUCGACUAGAAAGGCAAGCCUAUUUGAUCUCCGCAUUUUUGCUGGAAUAAAUAAAAGGACACAAAAGCAGCAUCUGCGUUUAAAAAGAAAAGAAAAAGUUACCACAUUGAGACUUUGCAGAAUGAAGUUUCAGGGGAUGUCAGCGCACCAAAUACCCCUCCAAGAGCUGUAAACCAUGUCAGGGGCCCCUCCUGCACUUCUGGAAAACCUAAUGAUCCCGUCGUGAGCAAGUGAAUUGAGAGAAAGAAAAAGAAAGAAAAGGAAGGAAGGAAGGAAGGAAGGA